rnacentral:tRNA from 1 species
AGGUGAGUUAAAGUUCUUUUGACUUUUCGCCCUUACAAGGCGAAUGUCGGGAGUUCGAACCUCUCCACACCCA